CCGGAGAUAGUUUCUACAUUUGACAUUAUUCGAUGGUAUUCAAACAAAUAGGACAUAUUUUUUGUAAAAUUACCCAGUUAGACCAGUAAAAUGUGCCCAGGUCUCACUGAGUCUGGAUCUGAUCGAGCUUUAUGUUGCGCCAUGAUGCACACAUUUUAGUUUCCAGCUGACCUCUGAUGUCUCACCUCAACCAGGACUUCAAAGACGGUAAAAUCCCUCCUGACAUGGAUCACUCUGCAUGGCUCCACUUUAAAAGAAGAACUAUUUCUGUGACAUUCAGACUGAGGCUGUGAACUCAGAGGGAGACUUCACUUCACUUUAAAGACUGAACCGGACAAAGAACCUCUGAGGUCAGGACAGAUUUCACCUCCUCACUGGACGGCAACGAGCAACUGAACCAUAACUUCUAAAGGAAUCAGUGACGGGUGAAGUCGGUUAGGUCAUUUCCAGAAAGUGACGCAGUUAUAAACUGAAGAACUGAAAAAAUAUUAUUUUUGCAACAGAAGGAAGAGCCGAAAUCCUCGGGGGUAACUUUGUACAUUUAAGGAUCUAUCACAGUGAAGUGCUGCUGCAGGGAUCCUAGUUUGAACAAGUGUUUCACCCUAUAACUGGAUAAGAAAUGUAAAAAAACAUUCAGACUUUUCUCUUAUGUUUGCAUUUGGAUAAA